UUUAUUCACACAAAAAACAAAAAUGUUUCCCACACUCGUAGGUCGUUAACAUCAUGUUGAAAAGCAUGAAAAUCGUUCUACUUGAGAAAAUGCGAAAAGCGCUCGAAAUACAGACCUGUAAUUGCUUUAUUUUUUUGAAUUUCUUGUGGCUGAGAAUGCCAUCGCGGCAGUCGCAGAGUUUGGAGAUGUUAGCAAGAAAGCCCAUUGCGGGACGUAAACAACACCAAAACAAGACUUACGGGUUUGAGAAUUUUGGAAGGAUGGAAGAGAAUUAAAUGUUUCUGGUUAUGCGGGAUGCAAAUAAAUGGGUUAGUGUAUUUUUUUAUGUGAUAUAGAACAAAUGCCAACUGUAGAAUGGUUUUGACAAUUAGCAUAUAUUCUUCAAUUGGCAUAAUCUCUAUGCUAACUCGUGCAAAUUCUGCAUUAACCUGAAUAUUUUCUCAAGUCCAUACCUAAGAAAUUAAGCUU